GGCCGGGUACCCAAGCGGACAAAGGGAGCUGAUUGCAAACCAGCUAUUCGUGGGUCCGAAUCCCACCUCGGCCU
rnacentral:tRNA from 1 species